rnacentral:rRNA from 1 species
UACGGGGGAUGCGAGCGUUAUCCGGAUUUAUUGGGUUUAAAGGGAGCGUAGGCCGCCGAUUAAGCGUGUUGUGAAAUGCCGUGGCUCAACCAUGGCACUGCAGCGCGAACUGGUUGGCUUGAGUGCGCGGAAGGCAGGCGGAAUUCGUGGUGUAGCGGUGAAAUGCUUAGAUAUGACGAAGAACUCCGAUUGCGAAGGCAGCCGGCUGUAUCGUAACUGACGCUGAAGCUCGAAAGUGUGGGUAUCGAACAGG